rnacentral:rRNA from 1 species
AGAGUUUGAUCAUGGCUCAGAAUCAACGCUGGCGGCGUGCCUCAGACAUGCAAGUCGAACGCGAAGGCCCCCUUCGGGGGGCAAGUAGAGUGGCGCACGGGUGAGUAACACGUAGGUAAUCUACCUUUGGAUGGGGAAUAACAACCGGAAACGGUUGCUAAUACCGCAUAAUGCAGCGGCACCUAAUGGUGACAGUUGUUAAAGCGGGGGAUCGCAAGACCUCGCGUCUGAAGAGGAGCCUGCGGCAGAUUAGCUAGUUGGUAGGGUAACGGCUUACCAAGGCGAUGAUCUGUAGCCGGCCUGAGAGGGCGGUCGGCCACACUGACACUGACAUACGGGUCAGACUCCUACGGGAGGCAGCAGUCGGGAAUUUUGGGCAAUGGGCGGAAGCCUGACCCAGCAACGCCGCGUGAAGGAUGAAAUCCCUCGGGAUGUAAACUUCGCAAGAACGGGAAGAAUAAGUCUGCGCAAAUAUCGCAGAUGAUGACGGUACCGUUUGUAAGCUCCGGCUAACUCCGUGCCAGCAGCGGCGGUAAUAC